rnacentral:rRNA from 1 species
CCUACGGGUGGCAGCAGUGAGGAAUAUUGCGCAAUGGGGGAAACCCUGACGCAGCAACGCCGCGUGAGUGAGGAAGGUUUCGGACCGUAAAGCUCUGUCGAGCGGGAAGAAGUGCAUGGUGGCUAAUAUCCAUUAUGCUUGACGGUACCGCUAAAGGAAGCACCGGCUAACUCCGUGCCAGCAGCCGCGGUAAUACGGGGGGUGCUAGCGUUGUUCGGAGAGCUUGUGGGCGGCUGGCGUGUAGGGAGCUGAAAGCCCUGGGCUUAACCUAGGAAGUGCAUUUGAAACUGUUCAGCUUGAGUAAGGGAGAGGAAAGUGGAAUUCCUGGUGUAGAGGUGAAAUUCGUAGAUAUCAGGAGGAACACCGGUGGCGAAGGCGACUUUCUGGCCCUAUACUGACGCUGAGACGCGAGAGCGUGGGUAGCAAACAGGAUUAGAUACCCUGGUAGUC